rnacentral:rRNA from 1 species
AGUGAACGCUGGCGGCAGGCCUAACACAUGCCAGUCGAACGGCAGCACAGUAAGAGCUUGCUCUUACGGGUGGCGAGUGGCGGACGGGUGAGGAAUACAUCGGAAUCUACUUUUUCGUGGGGGAUAACGUAGGGAAACUUACGCUAAUACCGCAUACGACCUACGGGUGAAAGCAGGGGAUCUUCGGACCUUGCGCGAUUGAAUGAGCCGAUGUCGGAUUAGCUAGUUGGCGGGGUAAAGGCCCACCAAGGCGACGAUCCGUAGCUGGUCUGAGAGGAUGAUCAGCCACACUGGAACUGAGACACGGUCCAGACUCCUACGGGAGGCAGCAGUGGGGAAUAUUGGACAAUGGGCGCAAGCCUGAUCCAGCCAUGCCGCGUGGGUGAAGAAGGCCUUCGGAUUGUAAAGCCCUUUUGUUGGGAAAGAAAAGCAGCAGGUUAAUACCCCGCUGUUCUGACGGUACCCAAAGAAUAAGCACCGGCUAACUUCGUG